rnacentral:misc_RNA from 1 species
GGCAUCCACAGGCAAGUCCAGGUCAUCGCUCAACGAGUCAGGCUCGUUUGAUGGAAGGUACCGGUGGAGCGCCGUUAAGGAGUCGAGAAAAGGCGAACUGGCAUUCCCGCAUUUCGCAAACGGUGACAGUAAGGGUGACGUUGGCUCGUCGAUAAAAGGGUCCCAAGCAGGGAUUUGGACGGUCGGAUUUGAAUGCUGAGAUUCUCCGAUCAUCAUUUUUGCAC